UUUUGCAGUGUGAAUGGGCUGGUUGCAGAUUGAGGUGUGUCGCAAGCUGUUUUUGGUGAACCAAAUCUUAAAGACCUGAUCAUCGGGAAGAUUAAAACUACCGGGCUCAGGAUCUCGUGUUAAAUAUUGUUCUUUUUUUUUGUGGCAAGCGUCAAAGUCUGAUUCUGCUGUGUCUCGGUUACCUGUGUUGUCUAUUGUGUAUGUCAUUGUGUGUCUUAGAUUCU
rnacentral:lncRNA from 1 species